ACUGGCCUACGGGGCGCAGCAGUGGGGGAUAUUGCACAAUGGGGGAAACCCUGAUGCAGCGACGCCGCGUGAGUGAAGAAGGAUUUCGGUACGUAAAGCUCUAUCAGCAGGGAAGAAUAAUGACGGUACCUGACUAAGAAGCCCCGGCUAACUACGUGCCAGCAGCCGCGGUAAUACGUAGGGGGCAAGCGUUAUCCGGAUUUACUGGGUGUAAAGGGAGCGUAGACGACUGUGCAGGUCUGAAGUGAAAUG
rnacentral:rRNA from 1 species